UACGAGUGCCUCAAGCGUUAUCCGGAAUCAUUGGGCGUAAAGGUUGUGUAGGUGGUCGUGUUAGUCUCUUGUGAAAUUCCCGGGCUUAACCUGGGGGCUGCAUUUGAUACGUGUUGUCUUGAGUUCGGAAGAGGGUCGUGGAAUUCCCAGUGUAGAGGUGAAAUUCGUAGAUAUUGGGAAGAACACCGGUGGCGAAGGCGGCGACCUGGUCCGACACUGACGCUGAGGCGCGAAAGCGUGGGGAGCAAACAGG
rnacentral:rRNA from 1 species